UUUGUAUAGUAUAACUAUUAUAUUUGACUUCCAAUCAAAAGACCUAGAAACCUAGUAUAAAUA
rnacentral:tRNA from 1 species